AGAUAUUAACAUUUUCGUACAGGGGUGCACACUGUUACGGGAACAGUGUGCCUAGUCGGGUUUAGUCAAAAUUUCUUUAUUUAAGUCAAUUUUUAAAACAGAACCCCUGCGUUUUAUCCUCUCCAAAACAGAACCAAAAACCUAGGGAUUUCCUCUCAAACUUCUCCCAUCCAUCUAGCCAAGCAUAACAACAAUUUAGUCAUCCUCAAGAUGGAGAACACCAUGGUAGCUUCGGAAUCGUGAAUUCUUCGGUGUUUCACUUUUCAUAGCAAGACUCCGCCUUGAAGUAAUUUCGAAUUUUGAGUAAUUCUGGUCACAUAAGGAAAUCAUUCCUAAGGCUUUCAAGGUCUCGGAAACAGUAUAUAACUCCAUCGACAAGGUUCGGAUAGACAGAGCGGCGUGCCUCCUCAGUAGGACCCCCAGGAUCAGCGUUGGGUUUCGCACUCCACUUCUUCGGAGUUGCUGACUUUGAGUCCAUAGG